rnacentral:rRNA from 1 species
GACGAACGCUGGCGGCGUGCUUAACACAUGCAAGUCGAACGGAAAGGCCCUUCGGGGUACUCGAGUGGCGAACGGGUGAGUAACACGUGGGUGAUCUGCCCUGCACUUCGGGAUAAGCCUGGGAAACUGGGUCUAAUACCGGAUAUGACCUUGGGAUGCAUGUCCUUGGUGGAAAGCUUUUGCGGUGUGGGAUGGGGCCCGCGGCCUAUCAGCUUGUUGGUGGGGUUAAGGCCUACCAAGGCGACGACGGGUAGCCGGCCUGAGAGGGUGACCGGCCACACUGGGACUGAGAUACGGCCCAGACUCCUACGGGAGGCAGCAGUGGGGAAUAUUGCACAAUGGGCGCAAGCCUGAUGCAGCGACGCCGCGUGAGGGACGACGGCCUUCGGGUUGUAACGUCUUUCUAGCACAGACGAAU